CAGUGGGUGAGAGACCCGCCCGGCUAUCGUUCCAGCCGGAAGCAAUCGGAGCAGUUAUGGAGGUAACGAAAUAGCUGAAGCCUUUGAUGUAACGGAUCACCUUGGGUGAUUCAGCGAGUGUGCAGGCCGUAACGUGA
rfam:Phycisphaerae bacterium SG8_4 WOR_8-12_12473, whole genome shotgun sequence.